GACGAACGCUGGCGGCGUGCCUAAUACAUGCAAGUCGAGCGAGCGGAACCAACAGAUUUACUUCGGUAAUGACGUUGGGAAAGCGAGCGGCGGAUGGGUGAGUAACACGUGGGGAACCUGCCCCUAAGUCUGGGAUACCAUUUGGAAACAGGUGCUAAUACCGGAUAAUAAAGCAGAUCGCAUGAUCAGCUUUUGAAAGGCGGCGUAAGCUGUCGCUAAGGGAUGGCCCCGCGGUGCAUUAGCUAGUUGGUAAGGUAACGGCUUACCAAGGCGACGAUGCAUAGCCGAGUUGAGAGACUGAUCGGCCACAAUGGAACUGAGACACGGUCCAU
rnacentral:rRNA from 1 species